UAAAAGUCGUAACAAGGUUUCCGUAGGUGAACCUGCGGAAGGAUCAUUAAAAAAUUGGACUCCAUUGGUGAGUUCAUUAAUAAUCCCUACCCUUUGUGAAUUUGUUUGUUUGAAUAAUUUUUUUUCCAAAAAAAUUAUUGAAUGUCUUUCCUUGUUUUGGUGGAGCUUGUAAAGUGAAACCAGGCAGGGGAAUGGCAAACAAUAAUUAUUUUGAAAAAGACCUUUUUUAAAAUUAAACUUUUUGUAUUCAUUUGUCUAAAAUUAAUUUUUAUAAUAUAAAAACAACUUUUGACAAUGGAUCUCUUGGUUCUCGCAACGAUGAAGAACGCAGCAAAAUGCGAUAAGUAGUGUGAAUUGCAGAAUACGUGAAUCAUCGAAUCUUCGAACGCAUAUUGCACUUUUUUAGUUUACUAAAAAAGUAUGUCUGUUUGAGUAUCAGUAAAAUAUUCUCAUAAAAAACAUUGUUUUUUUUAUGGUUAUGAGUGUUUUACAACGAUAACAAGUUGUUUCACUUUAAAUUCUUUGUUAUCAAAAAAAUCAUUAAAAGCUAAUUUUAAAGGUUUUUUAAAAUUGGAUAAAAUUUUCCCGUAAAAAGGAAUAACCUAAACAAUUUUAAAAAAUUAAAAUUGGUUUGAUUUUUUUGAAACCCAAAGGAAAAAAACGAAAUUAACUUGAUCUCAAAUCAGAUAAGAGUACCCGCUGAACUUAAGCAUAUCAAUAAGCGGAGGAAAAGAAACUAACUAGGAUUCCUCAGUAACGGCGAGUGAAGCGGGAAGAGCUCAAAUUUGAAAUCUUCAAGGUUUUACCUUGACGAAUUGUAGUUUAAAGAAGUGUUUUCUGUUGGAGUUUUGGUAAAAGUUCUUUGGAAAAGGACAUCAUAGAGGGUGAGAAUCCCGUAUUUGACCAUUAUCUCCAGCUUUGUGAUACGCUUUCAAAGAGUCGGAUUGUUUGGGAAUGCAGUCCAAAAUGGGUGGUAAUUUCAUCUAAAGCUAAAUACUGGCGAGAGACCGAUAGCGAACAAGUACCGUGAGGGAAAGAUGAAAAGAACUUUGAAAGAGAGUUAAACAGUACGUGAAGUUGUCAAAAGGGAAGCGUUUGACACCAGUGUUGUUUUCUCGAAAAUCAAUUAAAAAAGGCCGGAUUUGUGUUGUAUUGACUUUAUCAGCUUUCUGCACUCUUUUCUUGUCUUUUUUAAUGCACUUUUCGUUUAACAAGUCAACAUCAAUUUCUUUUGUUGUAAAAGGGUCAUUGGAAGGUGGCUUUCUUUUCGGAGAAAGUGUUUAUAGCCUUUGGCCUCUGCAAUCGGAGAGAUUGAGGUCUGCAGCGUAGAUCCUUCGGGUUAGAUACAUUUGUGCUAAGUUAUAGCCUUUCAUAGACAACUUGUUGACUAUGAUCAGUCAUGUAGCUUACUCGCUUAUGCUAUUUUACCUACGCUUAGGAUGUUGAG
rnacentral:misc_RNA from 1 species